UCUCGGCUAAUAUAACCUGUGAGCGAGUACAUUACUCGUCCAGUAAUUCAAAACGCUACCGACUGUUAGCAGUACCUAGUUCAGAGCUAAGAACCUUUCGGGACCCGUUUUCAAAUAUGAAUUCAGGAGGUGGAACUGUGGGUCAAGCGACUAAUCCUUUGCUGGCAGCGGUUCCAUCGCUCUUGGACAGUGUCGGGAUCCUGAUGCAACAACUUCUUCAAGCAUUAUCUCAAUUACUCAGGAAACUUCUAAACGGAUAGAAGAUCAGUAUAUUAGUGCCAAUUGCAAAGAGCGUGAAAAGCAAAUGAAAAUAGGGCUAUUUCCGAAGCAAAUUAAAUUUACACACAUAUUUCCAAAAACGAUCUGAAUAACCAUUAUAUACAACUAAUAUGAAGAACAGAAUUAAUUAA